GGUAAGUUCCGACCUGCACGAAUGGCGUAAUGAUGGCCAGGCUGUCUCCACCCGAGACUCAGUGAAAUUGAACUCGCUGUGAAGAUGCAGUGUACCCGCGGCAAGACGGAAAGACCCCGUGAACCUUUACUAUAGCUUGACACUGAACAUUGAGCCUUGAUGUGUAGGAUAGGUGGGAGGCUUUGAAGUGUGGACGCCAGUCUGCAUGGAGCCGACCUUGAAAUACCACCCUUUAAUGUUUGAUGUUCUAACGUUGACCCGUAAUCCGGGUUGCGGACAGUGUCUGGUGGGUAGUUUGACUGGGGCGGUCUCCUCCUAAAGAGUAACGGAGGAGCACGAAGGUUGGCUAAUCCUGGUCGGACAUCAGGAGGUUAGUGCAAUGGCAUAAGCCAGCUUGACUGCGAGCGUGACGGCGCGAGCAGGUGCGAAAGCAGGUCAUAGUGAUCCGGUGGUUCUGAAUGGAAGGGCCAUCGCUCAACGGAUAAAAGGUACUCCGGGGAUAACAGGCUGAUACCGCCCAAGAGUUCAUAUCGACGGCGGUGUUUGGCACCUCGAUGUCGGCUCAUCACAUCCUGGGGCUGAAGUAGGUCCCAAGGGUAUGGCUGUUCGCCAUUUAAAGUGGUACGCGAGCUGGGUUUAGAACGUCGUGAGACAGUUCGGUCCCUAUCUGCCGUGGGCGCUGGAGAACUGAGGGGGGCUGCUCCUAGUACGAGAGGACCGGAGUGGACGCAUCACUGGUGUUCGGGUUGUCAUGCCAAUGGCACUGCCCGGUAGCUAAAUGCGGAAGAGAUAAGUGCUGAAAGCAUCUAAGCACGAAACUUGCCCCGAGAUGAGUUCUCCCUGACUCCUUGAGAGUCCUGAAGGAACGUUGAAGACGACGACGUUGAUAGGCCGGGUGUGUAAGCGCAGCGAUGCGUUGAGCUAACCGGUACUAAUGAACCGUGAGG
rnacentral:rRNA from 1 species